AAUAGAUACCCGGGUAGUCCACGCCGUAAACGAUGGAUACUAGCUGUUUGAGCGUAAGUUUGAGUGGCUAAGCGAAAGUGAUAAGUAUCCCACCUGGGGAGUACGGGCGCAAGCCUGAAACUCAAAGGAAUUGACGGGGGGCCCGCACAAGCGGUGGAGCAUGUGGUUUAAUUCGAUGAUACGCGAGGAACCUUACCAGGGCUUAAAUGUAGAUUGACGUAUUUGGAAACAGAUAUUUCUUCGGACAAUUUACAAGGUGCUGCAUGGUUGUCGUCAGCUCGUGCCGUGAGGUGUCAGGUUAAGUCCUAUAACGAGCGCAACCCCUGUUGUUAGUUGCCAGCGAGUAAUGUCGGGAACUCUAGCAAGACUGCCAGUGUAAACUGUGAGGAAGGUGGGGAUGACGUCAAAUCAUCACGGCCCCUUACGUCCUGGGCCACACACGUGCUACAAUGGCCGGUACAGAGAGCAGCCACUUAGCGAUAAGGAGCGAAUCUAUAAAGCCGGUCACAGUUCGGAUCGGAGUCUGCAACUCG
rnacentral:rRNA from 1 species